GACGAACGCUGGCGGCGUGCUUAACACAUGCAAGUCGAACGGAAAGGCCCUGCUUUUGUGGGGUGCUCGAGUGGCGAACGGGUGAGUAACACGUGAGUAACCUGCCCUUGACUUUGGGAUAACUUCAGGAAACUGGGGCUAAUACCGGAUAGGAGCUCCUGCUGCAUGGUGGGGGUUGGAAAGUUUCGGCGGUUGGGGAUGGACUCGCGGCUUAUUAGCUUGUUGGUGGGGUAGUGGCUUACCAAGGCUUUGACGGGUAGCCGGCCUGAGAGGGUGACCGGCCACAUUGGGACUGAGAUGCGGCCCAGACUCCUACGGGAGGCAGCAGUGGGGAAUAUUGCACAAUGGGCGGAAGCCUGAUGCAGCAACGCCGCGUGCGGGAUGACGGCCUUCGGGUUGUAAACCGCUUUCGCCUGUGACGAAGCGUGAGUGACGGUAAUGGGUAAAGAAGCACCGGCUAACUACGUG
rnacentral:rRNA from 1 species